rnacentral:rRNA from 1 species
UGGGUAGGGGAGCGUUCUGUAAGCCUGUGAAGGUGGCCUGUGAGGGUUGCUGGAGGUAUCAGAAGUGCGAAUGCUGACAUAAGUAACGAUAAAGCGGGUGAAAAGCCCGCUCGCCGGAAGACCAAGGGUUCCUGUCCAACGUUAAUCGGGGCAGGGUGAGUCGACCCCUAAGGCGAGGCCGAAAGGCGUAGUCGAUGGGAAACGGGUUAAUAUUCCCGUACUUGGUGUUACUGCGAAGGGGGGACGGAGAAGGCUAUGUUGGCCGGGCGACGGUUGUCCCGGUUUAAGCGUGUAGGUGUGUGUUCCAGGUAAAUCCGGUUCACUUUAACACUGAGGCGUGAUGACGAGGCACUACGGUGCUGAAGUAACAAAUGCCCUGCUUCCAGGAAAAGCCUCUAAGCAUCAGGUAACAUCAAAUCGUACCCCAAACCGACACAGGUGGUCAGGUAGAGAAUACCAAGGCGCUUGAGAGAACUCGGGUGAAGGAACUAGGCAAAAUGGUGCCGUAACUUCGGGAGAAGGCACGCUGACACGUAGGUGAAGUGAUUUACUCAUGGAGCUGAAGUCAGUCGAAGAUACCAGCUGGCUGCAACUGUUUAUUAAAAACACAGCACUGUGCAAACACGAAAGUGGACGUAUACGGUGUGACGCCUGCCCGGUGCCGGAAGGUUAAUUGAUGGGGUCAGCGCAAGCGAAGCUCCUGAUCGAAGCCCCGGUAAACGGCGGCCGUAACUAUAACGGUCCUAAGGUAGCGAAAUUCCUUGUCGGGUAAGUUCCGACCUGCACGAAUGGCGUAAUGAUGGCCAGGCUGUCUCCACCCGAGACUCAGUGAAAUUGAACUCGCUGUGAAGAUGCAGUGUACCCGCGGCAAGACGGAAAGACCCCGUGAACCUUUACUAUAGCUUGACACUGAACAUUGAGCCUUGAUGUGUAGGAUAGGUGGGAGGCUUUGAAGUGUGGACGCCAGUCUGCAUGGAGCCGACCUUGAAAUACCACCCUUUAAUGUUUGAUGUUCUAACGUGGACCCGUUACCCGGGUUGCGGACAGUGUCUGGUGGGUAGUUUGACUGGGGCGGUCUCCUCCUAAAGAGUAACGGAGGAGCACGAAGGUUGGCUAAUCCUGGUCGGACAUCAGGAGGUUAGUGCAAUGGCAUAAGCCAGCUUGACUGCGAGCGUGACGGCGCGAGCAGGUGCGAAAGCAGGUCAUAGUGAUCCGGUGGUUCUGAAUGGAAGGGCCAUCGCUCAACGGAUAAAAGGUACUCCGGGGAUAACAGGCUGAUACCGCCCAAGAGUUCAUAUCGACGGCGGUGUUUGGCACCUCGAUGUCGGCUCAUCACAUCCUGGGGCUGAAGUAGGUCCCAAGGGUAUGGCUGUUCGCCAUUUAAAGUGGUACGCGAGCUGGGUUUAGAACGUCGUGAGACAGUUCGGUCCCUAUCUGCCGUGGGCGCUGGAGAACUGAGGGGGGCUGCUCCUAGUACGAGAGGACCGGAGUGGACGCAUCACUGGUGUUCGGGUUGUCAUGCCAAUGGCACUGCCCGGUAGCUAAAUGCGGAAGAGAUAAGUGCUGAAAGCAUCUAAGCACGAAACUUGCCCCGAGAUGAGUUCU